AUUGAACGCUGGCGGCAUGCCUUACACAUGCAAGUCGAACGGCAGCACGGGAGCAAUCCUGGUGGCGAGUGGCGAACGGGUGAGUAAUAUAUCGGAACGUGCCCGGUCGUGGGGGAUAACGUAGCGAAAGCUACGCUAAUACCGCAUACGAUCUACGGAUGAAAGCGGGGGAUCGCAAGACCUCGCGCGAUUGGAGCGGCCGAUAUCAGAUUAGGUAGUUGGUGAGGUAAAGGCUCACCAAGCCAACGAUCUGUAGCUGGUCUGAGAGGACGACCAGCCACACUGGAACUGAGACACGGUCCAGACUCCUACGGGAGGCAGCAGUGGGGAAUUUUGGACAAUGGGGGGCAACCCUGAUCCAGCAAUGCCGCGUGAGUGAAGAAGGCCUCGGUUGUAAGACGUCUUUGUUCUAGGAGAAACGGUAGAGGGACGUAA
rnacentral:rRNA from 1 species